rnacentral:tRNA from 1 species
UUAUGUUAAAAAACUGACAGCCUUCUAAGCUGUCGGUCGGUGGUUCGAGUCCACCA